ACUCCAGUAUAUCACAUGAAAACUCUAUGAAAAGUAUAAACGAAGAUAAAAUGAAUAAAAAAGAUGUGAUACUAAAUCCAAAUUAUAAGUAUUGUCCUACAUGUGGCUGUGCAGAAAAUGACAUUAUGGAAGCUUUAUGUUUAAACCACA
rnacentral:lncRNA from 1 species